rnacentral:rRNA from 1 species
UACGUAGGCAGCGAGCGUUGUUCGGAGUUACUGGGCGUAAAGGGUGUGUAGGCGGUUCUUUAAGUUUGGGGUGAAAUCUCCCGGCUCAACCGGGAGGGUGCGCCGAAUACUGAGGGACUAGAGUACGGGAGAGGAAAGUGGAAUUCCUGGUGUAGCGGUGAAAUGCGUAGAUAUCGAGAGGAACACCUGCGGCGAAGGCGGGUUGCUGGGCUGACACUGACGCUGAACUGCGAAAGCUAGGGGAGCGAACGGG